GAGUUAACAAAACAAUUUGAAUGUUUUUGUCGUCCAAGUUUUUUGAAUUUACAAUUAGGUCAACGUAGUUACUCGAAGCUAUUUAGAAUGAAUAUGUUCAAAGGAUUGAACGGACAAAGUUAACCUAAUAACGAUACGUUCAACAAGAGAAUGGUGAAAGUUUAAUUGUUGGUCUUCGUGUUUGGUUCAACUGGCUACAUUGAUUCCUUGCAAAACAACAGGAAAGGCAACCAAAGAAAGAUAACCAGCAAUAGACAGUUGAUUCACACAUUAAAGUCACAACAAUGGAUUACAAGCACUCGGAAUGGGCUUUGGUUCUUGUCAUGUCUGCCUUUAUGGUUAUAAUGAUGAUUUUUGCCUUCUUACUGGCCGUGGGCCUUCGUAUGUGCUACAAAAAACCAAGAGUACCUGGGCCUAGUAGUGCCUAGAUGAUGGUAUUUAUUUACAAUAUUUAAUAUCAAUAUUGUGUUUUUUCGUGAUCUUUUUGAUAAUAACAUCAUCACAACACAUCCUAACAACAGCAAUGUGGCCAUUAAAGCAUAAAAUUCAUCAAUCAAUUCAAAUAACAGAUCGACCUCGUCAACUUUCUAUUCUGAAAAUCAUUUGAUAUUCGCUGAUUGCCAUCAUCAUCAUCCAAUGGGUACCUACGAUAUCAGCAACAUUUAGAUACAAGAUGGUUCGAAAAUAGAAAACUUAGCAUUUUUUUCGUUGAUCAUUAAUUUUGAAAAAUUUAUCGAUUCACUUUCCAGUCUUCAAUUUUACCUUUGGUUUAUCGCUCAGUUUUUCAAUGGAUUAUUUCUUUAACCUUCUGUUCCAUUUUUUUGUUACAUGGCUAAUAUGGAUUUAUUUGAAAAAAUUAAAAUGUAAAAUAAGCUUAGCUUAUUAUUCAAAGUUUUUUGUUGGUAAUUUUGCUAAUUUACCAAUGCCAAAAUAUUUUACUUUCUCUGACUAGACAGCUUCCUAAUGUUACAUGCUAACUAAAUCAGCUCGUUAUCUUCAAGUCAAUAAUAAUUUUUGUCAAACAAAAUUUGCAAAAUAAAAUCUUGAUAUUUAAAA